GGGGCCUGCGGGUAUGGCGGCGCCUGAGGGCGCAGGAGCCCGGUCUGGGACAAAGGCGGCCGGUCUCCUCGCCUCCCUAGAGUGCCCUUUGCCGCUUUCCCUCAGGCUGCAGAUCAGUUUCAGUACAGGCGGGACCUCGGCAUGAGGGCGGCUGUUCCUGAGGUGUGAAGGCCCCUCUGUGCCUGCUGUGGGCAGAGGGCUGUGCGUGGGCAGGCCUUAUGUGGAGACUGUUGGGGAUUUACGUACAUGAUAAAAUAAAACCCUGCUAAGAGGCAUGAAGCAUUGAUUUCCUCCUGAAACACUUCCUUCUUGCACUUCAGAUAGCACCAGGUAGUGAAGUUGCUGCUGGUUGAGGAGCUGCACCUCUCCUGUCACACCCAGGGGCUCUGCAUGGCCUUCUAGAGGCAAAGACAAAACCAAAAAAUGACUUGAAAACGGAAAAAUGGCUUGAAAAUGGAAUGCUAAAAGCCUAUAAAUGGCACUGGUGCUUGCUUCUCUCUUGGCACAGGUUUCUGGUACAAAGGACUUGAACAGUUAAACCUGGGGACAAGGAGGUGCAGGUGGGGUCUGUGAGUGGGACGAGUACCCACUUUCCGCAGGAGUGCAACACACCAGGGGAUCCGGCUGCAGGUACUUUGUUCCCUUUGGAAAGGUUGAUGCGUUGGUUCAAUUCAAAAGGCAAAUUUAAAUAGAAAACUGCAAGCUGGACUGCUGUUCAUCAAGAAAUUACCAUUUUUAUGGACUUCAAGCAUACUGGAAGAUGAUAGUCUGGCACUGCACAUGAGCUUUCUCACAUCUCCUGGCAAAUCAAUCGCAUCAGACCCACCUGUCAGCACUGAGAACAGUCAGGGUAAACACUGAUACUCCAACUGAGGUUAACUGGAUGAAAGACAGCAGCUUGCACCCAAUUCUUCCGAAGAGCCACGUAUCCACGAUAUAACGUGUUGCAUCUACAGGCACACAAGUUAAUAAAAGCAGUAGGUCUCCAAACGCCAGGCUGGUGAUGAAGAUGUUUGGAACCGUC